AUUAUUAUUAUUAUUAUUUUAAUUCCACUUCCGUAAUCUACACUAUGCUAUAACAACAUGACAAUUGGUUACAAAAUUAACCUCUUCAGAACAUUCUGCAACUGAAAUAACAAGUUUUCCAAUCUCGCAAGGUACUAAAACCAACUUUGAACUACAAUGAAUUCCACUCUUAUAUACUAUAAAAUGGCUGGUGUAUAUACCUUGCACUUUGCAGCCGUUGAAAUUAUGAUAUCAAAUAACGGUGCUCGGGAAGAAUCUACUGUUAAGGUCACUUUUUUCCAUAAUAUAGUACAGUCUAUAAAGAUGCGUGCGUCACUCCUGUGAUCAGCGGAAUCAGAAGUGGUGCCUACUGGUAGAUCAAAAAGUUAAAUGAUACCUACAUCAAAUCUUUACCGCUUUGAUUUAGAUUAUUGCUUUUUCUAUUUAGUUACAAGCAGUUGAAGUGGUGCUUCUUAGAUGCCAGGAACGUGUCAUUGCACAUCUGUUAACAAGGACAUUCAACCACAAGUUUCAGGGUGAUACAGCUGAAGCAAGAAACAUUGGAGAAUAUGUGAACUCAGGAAACAAGAUAUACUUUGGAGACUGCAAUAAUCCAAGUUUAGCACUGAUAAAUUUAGAGAAUUUUGAUGCAUUUCUAAACUUUACUGCAGAAACGAGGUUAAGAAGCAAAAUCUUACAUUAUGCUUAGCGGAAUUUCUUCAGACGUUUAGGAGGCUUCAUUGGUCCUUUCCUUGUAUCAUCAGGGGUUUUUAAAUCCACGAAUGGCUGCAUGCACUUUCAACAUGCUAGAAGUAAGAAAAUGAAAAUAAUAAUUCACCAUCCUGUGUAAAAUGAUCACCAUAUUCAACAGCGAAAAAUCCCUUAAUUUAUCACGAGUUUAUUACCCAGUGAACAUAGCAACUUAUAUUGAUAAACAACAAUGGAAUCCACAGUUAUGGCAUUUGCCUGACAAGUAUUCACUACAGGCAAGCCAAAUGCCAAGACUGUAGACAAGUCAUUAAUAUGAGAUUUAUAGACAAAAAAUCCUUCCAGGUCAAACCUUUGGUCAUAUUUGUUAUAUACCACUUGCCUCAUAAAAGUACCCCUCCUAUCCCCUUUUCGUUCCUCACAGACCCACAAACAGAAAAGGAAAUAUACCAUGAAAGAGUGAUUCUUGCUGAUGCCUGCAUGAAGGCAGUUUUUUCUAGUUUUUUUAUCUUUUUAGCACCAAAAAUUGUUGGGAAGGGAAAGCAAGGGAAUAAUCUUGUGACAAUAACUAUUUGGUAGUCUUUUUCUGUCAGGGAAGGGUAAUUGGAAUACCAUGUUAAAGGCUAACAAUCAGCACAAUGGAAAAUUUUGAAAAUAUGCCAGCUGUAAUAAUUUUCCUGUUAUGCUGAUCUCUAACACUAACAUUACUUUGAAUGGAAGAAUCUCCUUGAGAGUUAAAAGACUUGAUAUCUUUCAAGAAUUUGGGUGUGGCUAGAAAUGAUUUUGUGUUUGCAUCGUUCCUAACACAAUACAAGAUGAGAAAAUCACUCACCUCUUAAAAUUUUCACAAUUUUACUCUUAAAACAUUAUGAAAUCUCCCAGUUCCACUAAUUUGCAUCUCUAAUUUUCCCAUUUCAAGAAAAAAUUUAGCCAUUUACCAAGGUUAUCACUUAGUUAUGACAUCACUGACGAGUGCUAAAAUUAUAUCCACUUUAUCAAUGUAAAUCCAACUUCAACUUAUACACUUAGGAAAAGUGCAAAGUUCAAAAUCCAAUUUGUCUGGAUAAUUCUAACUAAUAAAAUUUACCUCUUCUGAUAACAAAGUUUUAUAGCAGAUAAUGUACAUAUAACAUAAACAGAUUUAUCAAUUGAUGAAAAUAUCAUAACAAACAAGUAGUUCACAUACAAAAAUAAGAUGGCAUCAUACUGACCUCUUCCCAUUUCUUUUG
rnacentral:misc_RNA from 1 species